AACAUGAGCUUGUAACCCAUGUGGGGACAUUUAGAUGGUGGAACACUGGUUCGGGUCCACGGGCCGGUUCUGUUGUUGGCAUGUUUCUGGGCUGCCCAGUCCAAGCUGUGAGUAAGACGUGUGUGUCAAGCGAAGGCUUGGCUCAAACGGCUUCUAAAGUUGGAGGGUAAUGCGUGAGGCUGGUUUCACAGAGCAGCGACUACUUCCCGCUUACAGCAGUGGACGGAUCACAGUUUAGCGUCGCUCAGAACCACUAUGGCCUGCUGGUCCGAUCUCAUAUGAACCACCAUUUUUUUCCUUCUUUUGAUUUUGUUUUCCAAAACUUUCUACGCUUUUUGUUUAUACUUUAAGAGGGAACAAAAGCAAACUUUGAACAAAGCAAGAGACGAAGAGUUGUAUUAUAUAGCUUUUGUUCUAUGUAUGGAAAAUAUACAAGUUUU
rnacentral:sRNA from 1 species